rnacentral:rRNA from 1 species
GACGAACGCUGGCGGCGUGCUUAACACAUGCAAGUCGAACGGAAAGGCCCUUCGGGGUACUCGAGUGGCGAACGGGUGAGUAACACGUGGAUGAUCUGCCCUGCACUUUGGGAUAAGCCUGGGACACUGGGUCUAAUACCGAAUAGGACCACGCGCUUCAUGGUGUGUGGUUGAAAGCUUUUACGGUGUGGGAUGGGCCCGCGGUCUAUCAGCUUGUUGGUGUGGUAAUGGCCUACCAAGGCGAGGACGGGUAGCCGGCCUGAGAGGGUGACCGGCCACAAUGGGCCUGAGAUACGGCCCAGACGCCUACGUGAGGCAGCAGUGGGGAAUAUUCCAAAAUGGGCGCAAGCCUGAUGCAGGGACGCCGCGUGAGGGAUGACGGCUUUUGGGGUGUAAACCUCUUUCAAUAGGGACGAAGCGCAAGUGACGGUACCUAUAGAAGAAGCACCGGCCAACUACGUG